UACGUAGGGGGCUAGCGUUGUCCGGAUUUAUUGGGCGUAAAGAGCUCGUAGGUGGUUCGGUAAGUCGGAUGUGAAAUCUCCAGGCUCAACCUGGAGGGGUCAUUCGAUACUGCCGUGACUAGAGUUCGGUAGAGGAGUGUGGAAUUCCUGGUGGAGCGGUGAAAUGCGCAGAGAUCAGGAGGAACACCCGUAGCGAAGGCGGCACUCUGGGCCGAUACUGACACUGAGACGCGAAAGCGUGGGGAGCAAACAGG
rnacentral:rRNA from 1 species